CAAUAUUUUUAUACAUAAAUAUGUUUUGCAUUUUUAUAGUAGGUAGAUCAUCUUGACUUGGUCAUUUAUAAGUAGCUCGCAAGCUGAAAAAGUGUGGGUACCCGUUAUAGGAAAUAGGUUAGAACAGAGAAAAACGUGAUAAGAAAAAAAACAGAAAAACAACACAGUGCAGUUGGAGCAAUGAUGGCAGCAGCCGACCACACCAGUGCUGAUGUUCAUGCUCUCUCACACUCUCACACUCUCACGCACGCACACACACACAUAUAUGUCUUAAAAGACAGCAAGAUGCACAAAUGGUGGAAAUGUGUCAUUAUUUUGUUCAGUGUAGGUUCAUAGAAAUAUUUCACAGGGAAAGCCAACUGACUUCCUGCUGUGCGAGAUUUUGUAGGGGCAUGAAGACAGUACUAAUGGAGGGAAAAGAGGAAAAUGGACAGCAAGGCUGAUGUGAAGUUUAACUGAUUAAUCUGGAGGCAGUCAAGGAGUUAAGAAGCUCCUCUGCAGG